rnacentral:pre_miRNA from 1 species
CGAUUCAAAGUGAUCGGGUUGCCGUCUGAGCUCUAGCUAGCCAUACCCAGGCCUUGUUAACUUAACCAGUCCUAGAGAAGGCUCUGGCUCACACGGUAGCUUGCUCACUUAGAA